CGUGCCAGCAGCCGCGGUAAUACGUAGGGUGCGAGCGUUAAUCGGAAUUACUGGGCGUAAAGCGAGCGCAGACGGUCACUUAAGCAGGAUGUGAAAUCCCCGGGCUCAACCUGGGAACUGCGUUCUGAACUGGGUAGCUAGAGUGUGUCAGAGGGAGGUAGAAUUCCACGUGUAGCAGUGAAAUGCGUAGAGAUGUGGAGGAAUACCGAUGGCGAAGGCAGCCUCCUGGGAUAACACUGACGUUCAUGCUCGAAAGCGUGGGUAGCAAACAGGAUUAGAUACCCUGGUAGUCCACGCCGUAAACGAUG
rnacentral:rRNA from 1 species